CUAGGAAUCAUCCAGUCCAACUCUUCAUUUUCCAGAUAAGGAAACGGAGGCCCAGAGAGGGUGAGCCUUCAAGCAAAACGUUCAGUUGGAGGUUUUUGGUGUGCUCAAGAAGAUCAACCUCUGACUGCCCCAGGAUGCAGAAACAAAGUACCAGGCAGAACCUGAAUUGAAGCCUGAAGGAUGGAGGGAGGACAUGGGCUGUUAGUGUAAGAAUGUGCUUGGCCCUGUCAUCUUGUCAUGAGCAUGCCCUGCCCUACAUUUGGAAUGCCUUGAUAGUCUGAGAAGGAAGCAACUGCAGACUAAAAAAGAUAAAUGUGAAAGUUGGGGGCUCAGAUAAUUCUCAUGUGUGAACUCUCUCUGAAAUGGCUGAGCACGAGAAGCGGAAUGGAUUUCUCAACUGGCCUGGGACAGAAAGAAGAUUUACGGAUACCAUCAAUAAAGUGAAAAGACGACCCACAGAAUGGGAGAAAAUAUUUGCAAGUCAAUAUCUGAUAAGAAACUUGUGUCCAGAAUAUAUAAAGAACUCUUACAACUCAACAAUAAAAAGGCAAAUAAUCUGAUUAAAAAGUGAGCAAAAGAUUUGAAUAGACAUUUAUCCAAAGAAGAUGUACAAAUGGCUAAUCAGUCCAUGAAAAGAUAUUAAACAUAAUUUGUUAUUAGAGAAAUGCAAAUCAUGAGCAAGAGAUGCCACUUCACACCCAUUAGGAUGGUUAUCAUAAGAAAGAUGGACAAUAAGAAGUGUUGGUGAGGAUGUGGAGAAAUUGGAACCCUCAUACGUUGCUGAUGGGAUUGUAAAUUGUUACAGCUGCUUUGGAAAACAGUUUGGCAAUCCCUCAAAAUGUUAAACAUAGAGUUACUAUAUGAUCCAGAAACAACACUCUCAGGCAUAUGUCCAAGAGAAAUAAAAAGAUAUGUCCAAACAAAACCUUGUUCAUGAAUGGUCAUAGCAAUAUUAUUCAUAAAAGCCAAAAAGUAUAAACAACUCAAUGUCUAUUAAUGGACAACUAGAUAAAAGCAAUGUAGAAUAGCUGUACAAUGGAAUAUUACACAGCCAUAAAAAGGCAUGAGGAAUUGAUACAUUCUACAAUAAGGAUGAACCUUGAUAACCUUAUGCUGAGUGAAAGAAGCCAG
ensembl:lncRNA